rnacentral:rRNA from 1 species
UACGGGGGGAGCAAGCGUUGUUCGGAUUUACUGGGCGUAAAGGGCGCGUAGGCGGCCAGCACAAGUCAGUUGUGAAAUCUCCGAGCUUAACUCGGAAAGGUCAACCGAUACUGUGCGGCUAGAGUGCAGAAGGGGCAACUGGAAUUCUCGGUGUAGCGGUGAAAUGCGUAGAUAUCGAGAGGAACACCUGCGGCGAAGGCGGGUUGCUGGGCUGACACUGACGCUGAGGCGCGAAAGCUAGGGGAGCGAACGGG